AAUAACUCUUGCUAAUUUUAUUUUCAUGAAAUAGUCAGUUGUGUGUAUGUUAUACAUUGUGUAUCAUUAAACUAUGUACAGCUUAAAUUGUGUUUAAUAGAAUUCCACAGUGUGUAGUUGAAGGUUAAUUUAUUCCAUUACCCACUUUUUCCCAUUUAUUACCUUGGGGGUCACUCAGCUGCUUCACACCUGACUUUUUGGACCCUUUCGAAAUUGACCACUGGUCUAAUUUCUCAUUUCCCCCAAGUCAUUAAAUGUAAUACAUCUACAUUUAUUUCUCUCUCCACCGUCAAUCUAACCCCCUUUAUCGUAGCCACCUGCUAUGAGAUGGAGCAACGCUUCAUACCCUUAUAGGAACUCAUCUGGUUCCGGUUGGUUGACGGAGUGUCCAUGUCCAUGGGGCUUGGUCCAUCUACACCAAGUGUCGUCGACAGGGCCUGGAGCUAAAUUUCCCUUAGCUGAGUACUUGACUCCCAAGGGCCAAAUUAUUUAUAUGUUUUAUUAAUAAAAAAUAGAAAUUAAAUAAUCUUGUUGUCAGCAGCAAACUCACUGAUAUAAUGUUUGGUCUUACUAGAUUCUCGGUUUCAAUCUUAUAGGGAUGUCUAUGUCUGAAGGUCACAUUAAAUGUCAGUUUGUCAACACUUCAGGAGUAUGUUAAGAAAUAAGUUACAGUACAGGGUAUAAAAGAACACCAGAGAACACCUAAACAAGAGAGCUACAAAUACAGGGUAUAAAAUAAUCACCCAGAACACCUCUUAAAAAGAGGAGUUCUCAAAAGGUCACAGUUUACUGAAUCAUGAGGAACACCUAAACAAGAGGCAACCAGCUAAACAAGGUACAUGAAUCAUUAUCAAUGAACCACAGAAAAUAGAUAACAGACUUAACAAUGAAUAAGUCAUCACUUGCUGUAUCCGUCGUUCGUCAAUGUCAUGGUUACUUCUGUUAAGUUGUGGAUUUCAGUCGUUCGGUUAUAUCUCUAAGUCCCUGGAGUCAUAAAAUAAAUAGAAGCUUAUAUUAUGUAAAUAUAAGCGCUGUUUAUUUAAUGACAUCAUAAUCUGCAUGGGUGUAGCACAGGUUUUGGUACUGAUAAUCCCCUGGACUACAGUCUACAUGAUCACUCCUUAUUUGGUUAUAAGGCAAGGAGUGAUACAUUCCAUUCUCAAAUUUCACAAGGAUGCUAGGUAGUUGGUCAUUUUGAGUUUUGCUGCUGACAGGGAAAGUCAAACAUAAGUUGUCAUAAAGUUACAAAAUACCCACCCACCUCCCUUUAAUCAACUUCAACUACUCACUGUAUAUGGGAGCAGUCUCAGCAAACCAGUGGUUUUCUUCAAUUUCAAAACUCCCUUUCGAAAUUGACCACUGGUCUAAUUUCUCAUUUCCCCCAAGUCAUUAAAUGUAAUACAUCUACAUUUAUUUCUCUCUCCACCGUCAAUCUAACCCCCUUUAUCGUAGCCACCUGCUAUGAGAUGGAGCAACGCUUCAUACCCUUAUAGGAACUCAUCUGGUUCCGGUUGGUUGACGGAGUGUCCAUGUCCAUGGGGCUUGGUCCAUCUACACCAAGUGUCGUCGACAGGGCCUGGAGCUAAAUUUCCCUUAGCUGAGUACUUGACUCCCAAGGGCCAAAUUAUUUAUAUGUUUUAUUAAUAAAAAAUAGAAAUUAAAUAAUCUUGUUGUCAGCAGCAAACUCACUGAUAUAAUGUUUGGUCUUACUAGAUUCUCGGUUUCAAUCUUAUAGGGAUGUCUAUGUCUGAAGGUCACAUUAAAUGUCAGUUUGUCAACACUUCAGGAGUAUGUUAAGAAAUAAGUUACAGUACAGGGUAUAAAAGAACACCAGAGAACACCUAAACAAGAGAGCUACAAAUACAGGGUAUAAAAUAAUCACCCAGAACACCUCUUAAAAAGAGGAGUUCUCAAAAGGUCACAGUUUACUGAAUCAUGAGAAACACCUAAACAAGAGGCAAC
rnacentral:lncRNA from 1 species